rnacentral:lncRNA from 1 species
GGGAGGCCUGGCUCUGGUGUGGGCUGCGGGGAGAAGGCGCGGGAAGGAAGGAAGGAGGCGAAGCGGUGCGGGAGGGAGGCGGCCGUUGCCAUGGAAGGAGCUGCAAGCCUCCCUGCAGACCGCGAGCGGAGCCCCCGCACCCCCGGGGCUGGCCCCUGGCCUCCCGCCCCAGCCCGGCCGGCGGCCCCUCCCUGCUCCGCUGUCCGCCUUGGGUACAGAAGCGGCGAGUGGCCCCUUUCCAGGAGGCCUGUUUACCAGCACGACAACGGCAAAUUAGUGCGCUUAAGAGGCAUUCGGCGUUUAUCCCGGCAAACAUGCGCAGCGUGAAGGGGGCCUGCGAGGCCUGCUCCCCGGAAUCUGCUGAAAUGGGGUCUGCUGUGCAUCUUAAUCGACUUACUUCCACCCAUCACAUUAAACGCAUUUAAUCUA